rnacentral:misc_RNA from 1 species
AACCUAGCACACCUGCGGUGUGUACCUGCGGAGGGAUCAUUAACGAAUCUGAAGCCAAGGCUGAUGCUGGCCCCUCGGGGCACGUGCACGCCUUGUCCAAUUCGCCUUUUAAACCCUCCCUUGUGCACUCAAUGUAGGUCGCCGAUCCGGCGAGGCCGAAAGGCCUCUCUCCACCUGGCGCCUACGAUUUUUUCUCCGUACACACACCCCGAUCGCAUGUAUUACGUGUGCAGCUUUCUA